GACGAACGCUGGCGGCGUGCUUAACACAUGCAAGUCGAACGGAAAGGCCCUGCUUUUGUGGGGUGCUCGAGUGGCGAACGGGUGAGUAACACGUGAGUAACCUGCCCUUGACUUUGGGAUAACUUCAGGAAACUGGGGCUAAUACCGGAUAGGAGCUCCUGCUGCAUGGUGGGGGUUGGAAAGUUUCGGCGGUUGGGGAUGGACUCGCGGCUUAUCAGCUUGUUGGUGGGGUAGUGGCUUACCAAGGCUUUGACGGGUAGCCGGCCUGAGAGGGUGACCGGCCACAUUGGGACUGAGAUACGGCCCAGACUCCUACGGGAGGCAGCAGUGGGGAAUAUUGCACAAUGGGCGGAAGCCUGAUGCAGCAACGCCGCGUGCGGGAUGACGGCCUUCGGGUUGUAAACCGCUUUCGCCUGUGACGAAGCGUGAGUGACGGUAAUGGGUAAAGAAGCACCGGCUAACUACGUGCCAGCAGCCGCGGUGAUACGUAGGGUGCGAGCGUUGUCCGGAUUUAUUGGGCGUAAAGGGCUCGUAGGUGGUUGAUCGCGUCGGAAGUGUAAUCUUGGGGCUUAACCCUGAGCGUGCUUUCGAUACGGGUUGACUUGAGGAAGGUAGGGGAGAAUGGAAUUCCUGGUGGAGCGGUGGAAUGCGCAGAUAUCCAGGAGGAACACCAGUGGCGAAGGCGGUUCUCUGGGCCUUUCCUGACGCUGAGGAGCGAAAGCGUGGGGAGCGAACAGGCUUAGAUACCCUGGUAGUCCACGCUGUAAACGGUGGGUACUAGGUGUGGGGUCCAUUCCACGGGUUCCGUGCCGUAGCUAACGCUUUAAGUACCCCGCCUGGGGAGUACGGCCGCAAGGCUAAAACUCAAAGGAAUUGACGGGGCCCCGCACAAGCGGCGGAGCAUGCGGAUUAAUUCGAUGCAACGCGUAGAACCUUACCUGGGUUUGACAUGGAUCGGGAGUGCUCAGAGAUGGGUGUGCCUCUUUUGGGGUCGGUUCACAGGUGGUGCAUGGCUGUCGUCAGCUCGUGUCGUGAGAUGUUGGGUUAAGUCCCGCAACGAGCGCAACCCUUGUUCACUGUUGCCAGCACGUUAUGGUGGGGACUCAGUGGAGACCGCCGGGGUCAACUCGGAGGAAGGUGGGGAUGACGUCAAGUCAUCAUGCCCCUUAUGUCCAGGGCUUCACGCAUGCUACAAUGGCUGGUACAGAGAGUGGCGAGCCUGUGAGGGUGAGCGAAUCUCGGAAAGCCGGUCUCAGUUCGGAUUGGGGUCUGCAACUCGACCUCAUGAAGUCGGAGUCGCUAGUAAUCGCAGAUCAGCAACGCUGCGGUGAAUACAUUCCCGGGGCU
rnacentral:rRNA from 1 species